GGGGAGGAGCCGGGUUCGGGGCUGCUACUCCCCUCCCCGUGCAAGCGUCCUAGCGCUUCGGGCUGCCAGUGCCCGGCGCGUAUUCACUUCCUUGCCAGAAAAGUUUGCCCAGGUCAAGUGCCCGCUUCCCCCCCGCCGUGGGAGGCGGGUUCCACCGGCCUGGGGACAAUUUUACCGGGCGGCCUCCUUUGCUCCGAGGAGAGUGACUCCAGCCGCCCCUUUGCCCCGCAGCGCCAGGCGCCUUACAGGGAAGGAGGUUCCCGGGUGCCUGAGCCAAGCCCUGGGCUGCACCCGCUGGGUGGGGGCAUCAGCCUUAGCUUUCCCGGCGCGCCCGGGGGCGGGCCCUUCUCGGGCCGAGGCUACUCCUGACUGCGCUCGCUUCUACAGCCGUUCAAAGUGCGGCUGCUUCCCGGCGCCCUGCCCUGCCCUGCCCUGCCCGCACCGGGCGAUGGAAGCGCUGCUCCUGCUGGUGCACCUCGUGGCUGCAGCUACCUUGGAAAUCAAGACAAGCCCUUCCCCAGUAUUCUGUCUGGUGGACACACAUAUUGAGUUGCAUUGUAAUUUUACAAUCUGGAAGAGUGUUAAAUUGGAGGAUGUGGCAGUGAAAUGGACCAUAAACAAUGAAUUUGGAGAGAAGACAGUAUACCAGUUUGAUGGAAAGCAUACAUUAUAUCACCGGAAUGGGGCCUUGGUGAAUCCUGAAUUACUAACCCAGGGCAGCGCAUCACUGAACCUGCAUAAUGUGACAUUAGAUGAUGAAGGGAUCUACACAUGCACUGUUUUAAUAACCCCACAAUAUGGAAGUGGGACAAUCCGGCUCCAAGUCAGAGCUCAGCCUACAGUGUUGCUGUCACCCCAAAACCCUGAAAUUACAGCAGGGGGAGAGAAAACCUUUUCCUGUGAUGUUCAUCAAUUUUACCCUCAAGAAAUUGACAUCUCGUGGCUGGUUAGGAAGUAUGGCAGUAAACACGAGAGGCCUUUAACGCAGGAUAUCUGCACAGGAGUCCCAUUGGCUCACGAUAAAAAGGGCAUGUUCACUGUGCUGAGCCGGGUGACCCGAGAGGUGUCUGAAGAGGAUGAUGGAUCCUUGUACAUCUGUGAAGUCCGACAUGAAUCCUUGGAAAAGCCGCUGAGAGGAAAUACAACCAUAUUUGUCACGACCCCAAGGCAGUAUCAUCGGGACAUGGGGUUCAUUGUUGGAGUGGCUGCUGCUUGUAUUGUAAUAACUGGAGUGUGUAGUAUAUUUUUGACAGUAUUCUAUCGGGAACAAUUUAUGAAAGUGCCGCCUCAGGUUUCCUUGAUUAACAAACCAGAUGUGAUUCCGAUUAAUCAGAAGCUGAAGCUGAUGUGCAACAUAAACGGGUUUAGACCAAAAGCGAUUAGUGUGAAAUGGUACCGGAGAACCCCCCAAAUGGCAUCAAGUGAAGCUCAUGGAGAAGCCUCUUUUCUUCUGGGUCCAAGAGAAGAUAUUACAGACAAGGCAAGGCAGCCUUUGGAAACCAAUGGCAAGUUCUUCAGUGUUCCAUCCUGUCUGACCUACACACCCACCAUCCGGGAUGAUGGGGCAGUGUUUGAAUGCAGCAUUGAGCACAGCGCACUGAAAAGCGUCAUAUGGAUGAGCACCACGCUGAGUGUCACCGCUCGGCCGGCAAGUCUCUACAUCACUAGCUGGCCUCAGGCUCCCACGGUAGGAGAGAAGCUCAUUCUGAGUUGUGUAGUAGAGAAAUUUUACCCGAAGAAUAUCACUUUGACUUGGUUUCGAAAUGGACAACUCGUUAACGAUGUGACACAGUUUGGACCUUUCCCUUGUGAAAUUGACUAUUUCAGUGUCUGGAGCCAGACAGAGUUUAUGCUGACCAAUGAGGAGGAAGGGGCAAUUUAUAUCUGUCAGAUAAAACACAGCAGCUUUGGAAAUAUAGAAGAACUCUUCUAUGAAGUUAACUUGCAAGGGACACCCCCUGAAGUUCUCUGGAUCACGACAGACCCUUCUGUUCCUGUGCUGGGAGAGGAGCUGAGGCUGAACUGCAGGAUCAAUAAUUUCUCCCCUAACGUGAUCACUGUGAACUGGUUCCGAGAUGGGCACCUCCUGCAAGCGGGAGUCUGCCAUUCAGUCUCCAUAAUGGGAGCCAAUGGUUUGCACUCCAUCUGGAGCGUUUUGAGAGUCAUGCCUGGAAGGGAAGAGAAAGGAGCAGUGUUUACGUGUCGGGUGACACAUGCUGCUUUAAGGGACUCUGUAGAAAGAUCAUACACUCUGCAGCUGCCUGAUUGACUUGGUGAAGGCAUAACGGACUGUCCAGGGUGGGAAAGAAAGAGCAGAAGAUACACUUCCAGCACAGUGAAAGUUCUCUGGAAAUGAAACUUACUAAACACUGAAGAGUUGAUUCUACAUCCCUCCCACUUCAUCUCCUGGCUUUCACAUUCUCCUUGUAAAGGGAUCCUAACUGUUCCUUCCCAACCUACAGUGUAAGGACUGUGUCUGGUUAUACGACACACUCGUGGCAGCUGCUCGCUGCCUUUCUGUAUGAGAAGCACCAGUUCAUCAGCUGGUUUGUAGAGCAGAGAGAAUUUUUUUGUUCUUUAGCUUCACUUUUGGUUAAAGGAUGAUCUAGCUUCCUGCAUUUGUUGGGUUGUACACAAUUGCUAAAUGUCAUGUGAGCAACACUAUAGAGUCAGUAUUAUUAAUAAAAUACUUUUUCUUAGUAUUAUUAACACCUAGGAUUUAUCUCCCAAGGGCAUUAACUAAGUACUAGGGCUAGGGUAGCUAGGGCAUAGUUAUUAACUUAUUUAACAGAGGGAGAAAUGGUGACACAAAGUAGUGAAAAUGAUUUACCCCAGGUUAUGUAGAGAGAUGUGGAAUUAUUUUCACAGCUACUAAGAGGUUCAUUGGCUUUCAUGUACAUUGAAAUGAUCCUACCUGACUUCUACAUAGAAAUGGGCAAGGCCACGAAGAAAAGAGAGGACCUAUCCUAUAUUUUACCACUGGGUGUCUCUCUUUACCUCAUCACUGGAGGUAGAAGUGAAAAAUGUAAAGACAGCUCUGCAGUCUGGCCUGAGGUGACCAGAGUGUGUUACCUAGCCCAGUGUGAAUGGAGAGAAAGCUUUGCCUUUCUUUUCUUAAUUCUUUUCACAAUCAAGUAUUUGCAGAUUCAUUUAUUGAACAGAAAAUUGACACUCCUCCUACACUUCUUACACAAUGGAUUGACUCCAGCUGCUUUGAGGAAUGAAUUCCCUUUCUCAGCCGUCCAACUUAGAUCUGCUGUAAAUGGAUGCCAUUCCAUUGAUUUCAGUGGCGAUGCACCUGCUUACACCAGGUUUGAAUUAAGUUCAGUGUGCAAUGACAUCAAACCAUGGGGAGAGGGGAUAUAAGGAAUUAGGGAAUGAUAAAACAAGGGGAGAGAGAGAAGUUAUUUUAGGAUAGCUUUGGGAUAGCUUCUUUUGGAGAGGGAUGUUGGUUAUCAACUGAAUUGUCUUAAUUUGUUACAUUCUUUUUUUUAUUGUUGUAACUCAGUGGCUCUCAAGCUUUCCAGACUUCCCUUUCAGGAAUCUGAUUUAUCUUGCAUACCCCCAAGUUUCACCUCACUUAAAAACUACUUGCUUACAAAUCAGACAUAAAAAUACAAAAGGCUCAUAGCAUACUAUUACUGAAAAAUUGCUGACUUUCUCCUUUUUACCGUAUAAUUAAAUAAAUCAAUUGGAAUAUUAAUAUUGAAAUAAUAUUAAUAUGGAAUUAUUAAUAUUAACAUGUUAACAUUUCAAUAUAUAGAGCAGUAUAAAUAAGUCAUUCAUUGUCCAUAUGAUAUUUUAGUUUGCACUGACUUCGCUAAUGGUUUUUAUGUAGCCUGUUAUAAAACUAGGCAAAUAUCUAGAUGAGUUGAUGUAACUCCUGGAAGACCUCUGCGUACCCCCAAGGGUACAUGAACCACUGUUGUAAGGGACUUCUAUCAUAAGCAGGGGGCAAAGAGCAGCAAGUUCCUAGGUGUAGAUUACUAGAAGUAAUACUGUUAAGGAUCACUUUGGCCAUUGAGUUGAUUGGGAGCAGAAUCCAGCCCUCUGUAAGGGGAAAUGAAUGAGGAAAGUGUGGUUGCUUGGCCAGCAAGGAAUACAAAGAUACAAAUAAAUGUGAAAUAUAAUAUAUAUGUGUAAAAACCAAUAAACAUGGCUGCUGGUACAAGUGUGUGAGCAAGAAUACACAUGUAUAAUCUGUGCUUGUGCUCAGUUACCAUGACUGCAUGUGAAAAGGACCAGAGUCUCACUGUGCUUUGCACGUUCAAUUACUGUGAUUCUGCAUGAAAACUGUGUGUACAAAUUAGGCACGUGCACUUUUGAAUGGGAAUUUUUGAAACUCUAGGCCUCAGUAGCUGCAGGAAUUUGGAAUCUGCCCGCUUUGCAAAAUGCAGAGCAUUACUAACCUCCUGCAAACACCGAAUGGGUGCUGAUAGGAAAAUAAGUCAAACAGUACAAUAAAAGCUCAUUGGUAAAACAAAGGUCAAUAUGUGAGGGUCACUAAUGAUAAAUACAGCCUCUCCCCAGUCAGAACACAAGCCCAGAGUCUCAGGCUAUCCCUUAGUGCCAUACCUACCAGCUCUCCCUUUUGCAUGAACAGUGAGUAGAUUUAAAUGUAGUGGAACUAGUGAUACAGCAAGUGUUGGGUUGGCAUCAACCAUCCUUCCUUCCAUGCUCAUUAGCAGAGAGAUAAAAAUCUAGUUACAACAGGAAAUAAUUAAUAUGGGAAAAAAUGAAGGAAAGAAGCAUAUGGGCCUUGGCUAAUGCUGGUGCAGGAAGUGUUGAUUAUAGGUGUUUACAGGGGUGCUGGAACAAUUUGUAUAGUGGGGGUGCUGAGAGGCAUUGAACCAAACUGAACCCUAUAUAUAAUGGAAACCACUUCAAGCCAGCACUCCCAGCAUCUCUAGUUCCAGUGCCUAUGGGCAUUUAUAUAAUUAAGAAGAUGCAAAGAGGUUGGGGUUUAAAUCUUAAUCACAUUCAAAAUACUGGAACUCUAAGUAAAUCAGCAUGUCACCACUAGCACAGUAAACCUCAGUAAGAGACAGGCACCUGUCCUAUGAAUACUGAGCAGUAUGUUUAUGAUACUGAACUGAUAGGGGCUGCAUUAAGGGAAUUGAAUAAAAUUAAACGGGCACUAAUGUGAAUCGAGUAAGGAAAUGCCUUCCCUUUGUUUCUCACUGUUAGAAACCUAAAA